UAGGGAAUAUUGCACAAUGGAGGAAACUCUGAUGCAGCGACGCCGCGUGAGUGACGAAGGCCUUCGGGUUGUAAAGCUCUGUUCUCAGGGAAAAAGCAAGUGAUUGUACCUGAGGAGAAAGGACCGGCUAACUUCGUGCCAGCAGCCGCGGUAAGACGAGGGGUCCAAGCGUCGUUCGGAAUCAUUGGGCGUAAAGCGGGUGUAGGCGGCUCUGUAAGUCAGGAGUGAAAGCCCCGAGCUCAACUCGGGAAGUGCUUUUGAUACUGCAGAGCUUGAAUGUGGGAGAGGGUAGUGGAAUUCCAGGUGUAGUGGUGAAAUACGUAGAUAUCUGGAGGAACACCGGUGGCGAAGGCGGCUACCUGGCCCAACAUUGACGCUGAGACCCGAAAGCGUGGGGAUCAAA
rnacentral:rRNA from 1 species